AUUGAACGCUGGCGGCAUGCCUUACACAUGCAAGUCGAACGGCAGGCACGGGGGCAACCCUGGUGGCGAGUGGCGAACGGGUGAGUAAUACAUCGGAACGUGCCCAGUCGUGGGGGAUAACUACGCGAAAGCGUAGCUAAUACCGCAUACGAUCUACGGAUGGAAAGCGGGGGAUCGCAAGACCUCGCGCGAUUGGAGCGCCGAUGGCAGAUUAGGUAGUUGGUGGGGAAACGCUCACCAAGCCGUCGAUCUGUAGCUGGUCUGAGAGGACGACCAGCCACACUGGGACUGAGAC
rnacentral:rRNA from 1 species